CCUACGGGUGGCUGCAGUGGGGAAUAUUGGACAAUGGGCGAAAGCCUGAUCCAGCCAUGCCGCGUGUGUGAAGAAGGCCUUCGGGUUGUAAAGCACUUUCAGUGGGGAAGAAAGCCUUGGGGCUAAUACCCUCGAGGAAGGACAUCACCCACAGAAGAAGCACCGGCUAACUCCGUGCCAGCAGCCGCGGUAAUACGGAGGGUGCGAGCGUUAAUCGGAAUUACUGGGCGUAAAGCGCGCGUAGGCGGUCUGAUAAGCCGGUUGUGAAAGCCCCGGGCUCAACCUGGGAACGGCAUCCGGAACUGUCAGGCUAGAGUGCAGGAGAGGAAGGUAGAAUUCCCAGUGUAGCGGUGAAAUGCGUAGAGAUCGGGAGGAAUACCAGUGGCGAAGGCGGCCUUCUGGACUGACACUGACGCUGAGGUGCGAAAGCGUGGGUAGCAAACAGGAUUAGAUACCCUAGUAGUC
rnacentral:rRNA from 1 species